GAGUUUGAUCCUGGCUCAGGACGAACGCUGGCGGCGUGCUUAACACAUGCAAGUCGAGCGGUGACCCAUCUUCGGAUGGUGAUCAGUGGCGAACGGGUGAGUAACACGUGGGCAACCUGCCCCUAGCUCUGGGAUAACUCCUCGAAAGAGGUGCUAAUACCGGAUAUCACCUCCCUGGACAUCCAGGGUGGUUGAAAGUAUUUCGGCUAGGGAUGGGCCCGCGGCCUAUCAGCUUGUUGGUGGGGUAAUGGCCUACCAAGGCGACGACGGGUAGCCGGCCUGAGAGGGCGACCGGCCACACUGGGACUGAGACACGGCCCAGACUCCUACGGGAGGCAGCAGUGGGGAAUAUUGCGCAAUGGGCGAAAGCCUGACGCAGCAACGCCGCGUGAGGGAUGACGGCCUUCGGGUUGUAAACCUCUUUCAGCAGGGACGAAGCGAAAGUGACUGUACCUGCAGAAGAAGCGCCGGCUAACUACGUGCCAGCAGCCGCGGUAAUACGUAGGGCGCAAGCGUUGUCCGGAUUUAUUGGGCGUAAAGAGUUCGUAGGCGGUCUGUCGCGUCGGAAGUGAAAACCCGGAGCUCAACUCCGGGCCUGCUUUCGAUACGGGCAGACUUGAGUGUUGC
rnacentral:rRNA from 1 species